rnacentral:rRNA from 1 species
AUUGAACGCUGGCGGCAGGCCUAACACAUGCAAGUCGAACGAGUGGCGGACGGGUGAGUAAUGUCUGGGAAACUGCCUGAUGGAGGGGGAUAACUACUGGAAACGGUAGCUAAUACCGCAUACCAUCGGAUGUGCCCAGAUGGGAUUAGCUAGUAGGUGGGGUAAAGGCUCACCUAGGCUACGAUCCCUAGCUGGUCUGAGAGGAUGACCAGCCACGCUGGAACUGAGGAGCGGUCCAGACUCCUACGGGAGGCAGGAGUGGGGAAUAUUGCACAAUGGGCGGAAGACUGAUGCAGCAAUGCCGCGUGUAUGAAGAAGGCCUUCGGGGUGUAAAGUACUUUCAGCGGGGAUGCGUUACCCGCAGAAGAAGCACCGGCUAACUCCGUGCCAGCAGCCGCGGUAAUUC